UGGAAUGAAGAAAAAGACCACCCAUUUUGUAGAAGGUGGAGAUGCUGGCAACAGGGAGGACCAGAUCAACAGGCUUAUUAGAAGAAUGAACUAAGGUGUCUACCAUGAUUAUUUUUCUAAGCUGGUUGGUUAAUAAACAGUACCUGCUCUCAAAUUGAAAUAUAUUGUUGUAUUUGUGAUUUGUUGUUGUUGUUGUUAGCCUGCCUCUGUCUUCCCUUAACUACUGUGGCAAGUGUGGUGUGUGAUAAAAUUAAGCCAAAUCAACAGCCCAUUUCGUGCAAAAUCAGGGUCGAGUCUGUGUGAAAGACAUCUCUUGGGUUUUUAAAAGGCUUUUCUAUACAAAAGAUUUUAAUUUUUUGUUUUUUAACUGUGCUGAGUGAUUCGAAAUGGGUUUAUUCUAAGAAAGCCUGUUUCACAAGCAUUUGUACAUGAUUUGUCGGUAAGGUAAUCCAACUUUGGUUUAUGGAAAAAAUUGAAUUUAGUUGCUAAAAUUUAUUUCUCGGGCCUUCGCUUGUUUAUAAACUGCCAUG
rnacentral:lncRNA from 1 species